rnacentral:rRNA from 1 species
CAUCCAGACUCCUACGGGAGGCAGCAGUGAGGAAUAUUGGUCAAUGGCCGGAAGGCUGAACCAGCCAAGUCGCGUGAGGGAAUAAGGCCCUAUGGGUCGUAAACCUCUUUUGCCGGGGAGCAACGGGGUCCUUGCGAGGGCCCGAUGAGAGUACCCGGAGAAAAAGCAUCGGCUAACUCCGUGCCAGCAGCCGCGGUAAUACGGAGGAUGCGAGCGUUAUCCGGAUUUAUUGGGUUUAAAGGGUGCGUAGGCGGGCUGUUAAGUCAGCGGUCAAAUGUCGGGGCUCAACCCCGGCCUGCCGUUGAAACUGACACCCUUGAGUGAGUGAGAAGUAAGCGGAAUGCGUGGUGUAGCGGUGAAAUGCAUAGAUAUCACGCAGAACGCCGAUUGCGAAGGCAGCAUACCGGCGGCGAUCUGACGCUGAGGCACGAAAGCGUGGGUAUCGAACAGGAUUAGAUACCCCGGUACU